AGCGAACGCUGGCGGCAGGCUUAACACAUGCAAGUCGAGCGCCCCGCAAGGGGAGCGGCAGACGGGUGAGUAACACGUGGGAACGUGCCUUUUGGUUCGGAACAACCCAGGGAAACUUGGGCUAAUACCGGAUAAGCCCUUACGGGGAAAGAUUUAUCGCCAAAAGAUCGGCCCGCGUCUGAUUAGCUAGUUGGUGGGGUAAGGGCCCACCAAGGCUACGAUCAGUAGCUGGUCUGAGAGGAUGAUCAGCCACAUUGGGACUGAGACACGGCCCAGACUCCUACGGGAGGCAGCAGUGGGGAAUAUUGGACAAUGGGGGCAACCCUGAUCCAGCCAUGCCGCGUGAGUGAUGAAGGCCUUAGGGUUGUAAAGCUCUUUUAGCAGGGAAGAUAAUGACGGUACCUGCAGAAAAAGCCCCGGCUAACUUCGUGCCAGCCGCCGCCGUAA
rnacentral:rRNA from 1 species